AGUGAACGCUGGCGGUAGGCCUAACACAUGCAAGCCGAACGGCAGCACAGUAAGAGCUUGCUCUUACGGGUGGCGAGUGGCGGACGGGUGAGGAAUACAUCGGAAUCUACUUUUUCGUGGGGGAUAACGUAGGGAAACUUACGCUAAUACCGCAUACGACCUACGGGUGAAAGCAGGGGAUCUUCGGACCUUGCGCGAUUGAAUGAGCCGAUGUCGGAUUAGCUAGUUGGCGUGGUAAAGGCCCACCAAGGCGACGAUCCGUAGCUGGUCUGAGAGGAUGGUCAGCCACACUGGAACUGAGACACGGUCCAGACUCCUACGGGAGGCAGCAGUGGGGAAUAUUGGACAAUGGGCGCAAGCCUGACCCAGCCAUACCGCGUGGGGGAAGAAGUACUUCGUGUUGUAAAGCCCUUUUGUUGGGAAAGAAAAGCAGCAGGUUAAUACCCCGCUGUUCUGACGGUACCAAAAGAAUAGGCACCGGCUAACUUCGUG
rnacentral:rRNA from 1 species